UUUCUUGAGUUUUCUUAAACCAGUGGAUUUAUCAAAUUAAAAAUAAAUAAUUAUAAAAAAUCAUUGUCUUGCAAUUCAAUAAAAGUAUUCUUAUAGCUCCUUGAAUGUUGUAGUAAUAUAAGUGAAAAUAGCUUUGAAACAAGAAGGAAAUCUUAAGAGAAGCGGGAUUGAGUGCGGGAUAUUUUCGGGUUUUUUGAAGAUAAUCCUAAGUUCGUCAAACAUAAUGUGUCUUUGAAUGACAAAUUCAGAGCAAUCAAAAAAAAGGUGAUGUAGAGAUUGGGCUGUAUUUGAGUUACACCAUGUGCAUGAUGGGGAAGCGAUCAUGCCCAUUCGGUGCAGGUGUUCGUUGAAAUGUCCGUGGCCGAUUCGUAAUCUACAAAUAUUGGUGUAAAAUUUUCUGUUUGUGUCCUUUCCUUUGCAGAACCACGGUUUUCCAAUACGCCAAUUAAUUUUGCGGUACCAUUUGCCUUUAGUCUGUAAUAUUUGAGUCCAAUGCUCCUCCCAUUUAGUUGUAACGAUUUUAUGUAUUCCAAUACUACAAUCUGAGUAACAAAGGGAUAAAUCUUGAACACGAGCAGCACUUGAAUUAAUAAUUUUAGCCAAAGUGUCUACUUGUUCAUUCCCAAACACUCCAAUAUGUGAAGGGGUCCAGAUGAAGAUAAUAUCUUUUCCAUAUAUAGUACAGAGAUGAUAAUAUUUAUUACGAAUUUCUUGAAUUAAGUAGUUUGAUGAUGAAAUGAAUGUGUUAUUUUUUAAUGCCAUAAGAACACUCAUACUAUCUGUAAUUAUAAUCCAUUUCGAAUAUAGUACCUGUUUUUCUAUGUAUUCUAAUGCUAAAAAUAUAGCUUUUGCUUCUGCUGUGUAAAUACUAGCCAAAGUUGAAAUUUUAUAACCGUGACCAAAUCUAUUUGACAAAUCGUAAAAAGCCACUGAAGUGCUAAGUGCAUUUUUGGAACCAUCUGUAUAUAUCUGCCUGUAGUCAAUAAAUUCUGAUAAAGUCUCAUACAUAUCGUGCUUUUCUUUUAUGUCUUUACGUAUAACAAUUUUGAUCUUACAGAACUUACUCUCAUAAAGGCCAUUAUAACAAGGAAGUAUCUUACUACUAUAGAUGUUAUAUUCAUCUCGUAAAUUCAAAUCAUUGACAAUAGUUUUAUUCAAAAACAUAGAAAUGGGGCAAUUUAAUAAUUUGAGUAUGAGUGGGUUAUUGGAAACUGAAAAAACUUUGAAGAGAAAUUUGAGUUUUAGGUAUUCGAAACGAAGAAGGAUAGGAGGCAAAUUACAUUCUACUUGCAUUGAGAUAAUUGGAGAAGUAUACAUAGCACCUAAAAUAAGUCUUAAAUUCAUAUUUUGAAUUUUUUCGAGUUUUUCUACUAAUUUAUGUUCUGAGGCAUAACAAAAGAAAGCGUAAUCAAAAUUACUUCUAACAAGAGAUUUGUAAAGUAAAAGGAUAAUUUUAGGAUCAGCUCCCCAGUUACGACCAAUUACAGAUCUUAUUAUAUUAGUGGCUCUUAAAGCACGAUCUACUAAGCAAUCAACGUAUAGAUCCCAUUUUAAAUUUUGAUGAAAAAUUACCCCCAGAAAUUUAACGCUACAGUCUGUUGGAAGAGUUUGAUUAUUAUAUAUAAUAUUCAUUAAUGGAACAUAUUUAUGAACUUGAUGAAAAACAACUACUUUACUUUUGGUUAAACUAAUAUCGAGGGAAAGAAGAGAAAAAUAUUUCUCAAGUCUUUUUAAUGACUCAUUUAACACUAAUUGCAUAUCAAUAAUAUUCUUUCCUUUUAUAUAAAUUAAUAAAUCAUCGGCAAAUUGCAAGUUGUUCACACUGUUUCCUAAAAUUGAAUUAAGUUUAUAGAUAUAUAAAAUAUAUAGUAGCGGGCUUAGAAUACCACCUUGACAUACUCCUUUAGAGCUUAACCUAGGUCCUAUUAAUUUACUAUUUACUUUAACAUACACUUCUCUAUUACUAAGAAAAUUAUAAAUCCAUUCGAUAAGUUUCAUUGGAAGAAAUGAGGAUAAAAUCGAAGAUAGAACUGUUAAAUUUACAUUGUUAAAAGCUCCUACGACAUCUAAAAAAAACAGAUAGAACAUAUUCAUCGUUAUUCAAAGCAGUACUAAGGUCGACAUAGAAGUUCGCUAAACUUUCGCGCGCUGAAUAUCCACGGCGAAAACCAAAUUGAUUCGAUGGUAAUAUACUAUUACUUUCAAUAAAAAACUCUAAACGCUGUUUAAUUAAUUGUUCGAAUAAUUUGCCUGCACAGGACGUCAAUGUUAUAGGUCUAUAGGAGUCGAAAUUUGUAGGAUCUUUACCGGGUUUAAUUACUGGAAUCAAACAAUCCAUUUUCCAUUCUGGUGGGAUAAUACAGUCCUUCCAUAAAUCGUUAAAAAUUUGUAAGAGUUUAGUAAGGUUUAUUUUAUUCAGCAAUCGAAACAUAUUGUAUGUUAAGCGAUCAAGGCCACUAGCUGUAUCUUUUCUAGAUUUUACUGCACUGGAUAUUUCAUCAAUUGAGAAUGGGUCAGUGAGAAAUUUUGGGCAUGAAUUAACAGAAUUAAACUGUUUGUCAUCAAAAGGUGAGUGUACAAAAUCAGGAGUAUAUUUGCGUAAAAAAUCAUUGACCCAUGAUAUAUCUUUAAAAUGAUUUUGACGAUGUUUUGAAUUUAGUUUUCUCAUAUUUUGCCAAACAGUGGAAAUUGGUGUUAAUCUAUUAAAUUUGGAACAAAAUUCCUGCCACCCCUGUUGUCUUACUUGCUUAAUUACUAACUUUUUAACAGCUUGAACUCUUUUAAAAUUUAUGUAAUUAUCGAGAGUUGGAUUUUGUUUAAACCUAAGGUAAGCCGCUUUACUAUCAUUGACAGCUGUCGCACACCUGUUAUUCCACCAAGGUACUGCAAUAUGUUUGUGCCUCUUUGAAGUAUUUGCACCGCUAUUUGAUAAGUUCCUACGUGGAACGGAACGUUCCACAGCUGUCAAAAUAAUUUUACAGAACCUAUUGUAAUUGUUUAAGGGUUCAUUGACAUCAUACUCGAAAUCCAAAAGUAAUUGAUUAACAGUUUCAGAAUAAAGAUCCCAAUUAACGAGACGUAGGUUUAUACGAUUUAACAAAAGUUUAUUAACUUCAUCUAUAGGAGCAUGUUGUUCACCUGACAGAGUUGAUGAAGAGUUCUUUGUGUUUAUUUUAAUAAAAGUCGGCAGGUGAUAACUUCCUAACGGAUCAUCAUGAACCGACCACUCGCAUUUUAAUGAUAUGGAUGGGGAUACCAUAGUUAAAUCAAGGCCAUUGGGUCUCCAAAUAUGAGAGCCAACAGUAGUAACUUGCUUAUCAUUUAAUAGUACCAAAUUACAUUCAUCUAAACAAUCAAGAAUGUCUUUACCUCUUGUAUUAGUGGAGGUACAACCCCACAUAGUAUGAUGUGCAUUUAAAUCUCCAGAUAUGAUAGUGGGUUUAGGAAGAGACUCCAAAAAGAACUUAAAUUUGGCUUUAGUAAAACUAGGUGUACUAUUGGUAGGACAGUAAAUACUGGCAACUGAAUACCAAGAAUUAUUAACUUCAAUACUAAUAGCUAUAGUUUGCAAAGAAUUGUCGAAAAAAGAGUGAAGUUUUUUAUAUCUAAUACUAUUAUGUAUAAUAAUCGCUACUCCAUUGUGGUUAUUACCACAAUCAUUUCGUUCUAUACAAUAAUCUUUAAUUUUUAAUUUGUAAUGUGGUUUUAGCCAAGUUUCUGAGAUGAGAGCAAUGUGAAUAUGAUGUUCAUUUAAAAAUUGUGUAAAAAUAUGUCGAUUGCUCAGUAGGCUCUGAGCGUUCCACUGUAUGAUAGUUAAUUGGUCUCGAUUGAAUUUUGUGAAAUAGGUCUAUUACCAAAAGUAUCAUAUAACACAUUCAAAACACUUUUAGUGUUAAUAGAUGUGUUCUUUGUGUUAUGUAGUGAAAUAAGUUUGAUUAUGCUUUCUAUUAAAAGUGAUAAACUCUUGUUAUCAGAAUUUAGAAUUGAAAUUAGGUCUACAUUUUUUUUAGGUUUGUUACCCAGUUUAGGAAAUAUUUCAGUGCUAAGUACAUCUCCAAAAGAAGCAGGUCUGAAUUUAGAUCUAUUUUCAGCAAUUUUCUUUUGUUUAACAGGGCAUUGCGGUGAUACACUUGUGUGAUUUCCAUUGCAGUGUACACAAAUAGCGUUUUCCAUUCCAGUUGUACAAGUUUUAUAAUUAUGCUCACCUUUGCAGAUGCUGCAACGCUCAGAAUUCUUACAGAAUUUAGCUAAAUGUCCAUACCUCAAGCACCGGUAGCAUUGUUUAACUGGUGGUAUAUAUGGAGUGACAUUGUGGCGCCAACCUCCAAUAUCCAGAUAUUCAGGUAAUACAGAUGCAGCAAAAGUAAUUGUCACGGUUAGAGUUGGCUGUAACACAUAUCCAUGAGUCAAGAUUCUGAGUCAGUAGAAGUAUCUUCCGAAUAUAUAUCCUUGUCAUUACAAGGUUCAUGGUCUACAUCACCUGAAUCGUCAUCUUUUUUUUUCCUUUUUCUACAACUGCGCUUCCCCAUGAAUGCUAAUUAUAUUACUGUCGCUGAAUUUAGUGAGAAUAUAAUAUUUUAUUCAAUAAUAAGAAUUGAUAGAGAUAGUUUUAAUAAAUUAAUAAAAAAAAUUUAAAAAA